UGUUGUUUCUGAAUUACCGAUUCCUUGCCUACUGCCAGAUAAGAACAAAGCCUAUGCAUCAGCCUGACAGCUUGCAAACAGAAAAUGGGCUUGUAGGAUUGGAUUUAAAUCCCAGGUGUAGGGGAUAAUUACCACAUCACUCAUGCAGUAACUGAAAAAUGGUAUUUCAACAAGAAAAAUUACAUUCCUUUUAUAGUGCCAACAGAAAUCAUUAUUUGAGGCUUCACACUGAUUCACUGUAUCAUUACAUGUGCACUGUACUCAUUAAAUGUAAUGUUUGUUGCAACAUAAAAAAGUUAUUGUUUUAGGUACUUUGUUGGAGAAGGUAGCUUAAAUUUAAGGUUUGUAGAACCUUGAUGGUGUAGAGGUCGUUUGGACUCUAAUAUAUACUGUGCAAGAGAAAUGACAACCCAGACGCAGAGCUUUCAACUGGCUCCUAUUACAGGAGGCGUGGAUGGAUAGUACAAAGAAAAUGGAGUAUAAAUCUUUUGUUUCAAAAACCCCAGCCAUUUAACCCUACAGUCUGUCCAGAGAAAGAGUACAAAUAAUGAUUCAAAUCUUGACAGAGCGGUGCUGAAUAGUGCAUAUUUUACCAUUAGCUUUGAAAUCAUUGAAGCCCAACAUAUACAUUCUAAAGAACAGAAGGACAGAGACUAUAUUCAUUUGAAAAAUCAUAAAAAAAAAAACAGUGGCAAACAUACUGGAAAUGCCGUCUUCAUCCCUGGCAUUCAGUCCAUACCCACAAAGCUGCAGUUGUUUCCCAGUGAUUGUGCAAGCAGCACAAUAAUGAAAGUGACAUUCAGCAGAGUCGUUCGUAGGUGCAGAAGGCUAUGUGUCAACUGCUGAGAGCAACAACUUAGGCUGCAUUAAUCAGAUCCCUAGUUAUAUUUAUGGCCAACUGGCUUUCUCAUUAUGAUCAAAAUCAUGCAAAAAAAAAGAAAAUGACUUCAAAUUUGCUGUAUUCUUGCAUGAACGUCGCAAGGAGGCAUUGACUAUUUGAUAGACAUAGGAAAAGAAGCUACAAGAACUAGAUGGAUUCAUUGAGAAUAAUUCAAGUUAAGUAAACUUAUUUUCUUAUUUCAUAGGUUUCUAGACUGACAGACUAGAAAUGAACUAUUAUUCCCAGGUCUCUGGCUCAUUCCUGCUUGGUUGGUAUGUGAUAAUGAUGAAGACUAAAGGAAGAAAAGGUUAGGAAGCAGAAUAUAUUGAAUUUGUGGUAUAAUGAGAUAUCACUGUCGUGAUGUUAGGUAGACAGUUGAAUACAAAAAUGUGAAGAUUAAGACACAAGUUUUGGUUGGAGAAAUAUAUUUUGAAAAGGAUGGAGAGGCAGGAAAAAAAAAGUAAAUGGAAAGGUAAAAAAUUGGAUUAUGAGCUAUCUUAGGAUUUGGAAAAAACAUGUUUCAAGAUUAUGAUAAUAAACUGCAUUGUUGAGGUAUGCUAGGGAAUUUAGUAAGAUCAGGAAAGAAAGGUUUCCAUCAAGUUUGGAAAUAUGGUAUUUCUCUAAUGACAUACUAUGGACAUGAGUCUUCAAAGUAAUUUUUCUUUCUCCUAUUUGUAACUUCAGUUUCUCAGUUGUUACCUGCAAUAACUACACAUGGAAUUUGCUAAAGAUAAUACCCAUCUCUUUUUCCUAUAUAAUAUCACUCAUUUGCCUGAGGAAAAUUCACAACUUAAUUACUUGGAGGAAAUCUCCAAGUGCACUGACAUUGUCAGAUCAGUACGGGUUAUUCCUUGCUACCUAAUGCCAAUGAAACACAACUGUGGCACUCAGUGCUGAAGACCGGAUUGCUCCUGUGAUGCUUUUGUGAAUAGAGAGGCAGAUAGAUAUCUCUGCUGUAUUCAGUUUGGGAUAUGCUACAAUAAAUCUGCUUAUAUAGGAAAAUAAGCAGGAAGGUUCGUUUCACAUACAUUUGGUCUCAUCCUCAGAGAGCACAACUAUCUUCAGUAUAGCUAGGCUAGCUGGAGCUGUGGCUUGUUUGUCAUUGCCGUAGUUGGAAAAUAUUAGACCUCUGUACAGCACCAGCUAGUCUCCUCCUUCCCUAUUGGAAAUUUCCACCACUAAGGGUUUUCAUUAUCCUUCCAGUCCAUCAGACAUAUGUGAAUAUGGCAGAAGAUGAAUGGAGAACAGAGAUGUGUCCUCUCAAUUCCCAACUCCCGCCAAAAGCUUCUCAGUCCCUUUGCAGAUUAGUAGUUUCAAAUGGGGAGGGUGGAGUUUGUGCGUCUUCACCAGCAUUGGAGCUCUUUUACCCAUCUAAGACACCUUGUUACUUAUAUUCACAUCAUUUCUGUGAAGUUUGAAGGGAUUCUAAAAUAAUCAAUUUAAAAUAAAAAUGAAAGGUUAUGUAACUUGUCCAAAAGCACACAGCUCAUAAAUGAACAAGAUGAUUUUUAAAUCUAGAUAUAACUGACUUCAAAUGUAUAUUAUUUAUAUAACAGCUUUAUUGAGGUAUAAUUGUCAUUGCAAUACACUGAACAUACUUAGUGUCUACGUUUUUAUAAGUUUUGGUAUGUUAUGUACCAAUGGAAAUUAUCACCACAAUCAAGAAAAUUUGUGUGUAUACAUAACAAGGAAAAGUUUACUCAUGUCUUUCUUUCUGCCCCUCCCUGGUUACCCACUCUGCAUCUCAGGCAGCCAUUCAUCUAUUCUCUGUCACCAUUGAUUAGUUUGCAUUUCCUAGAAUUUUAUAAAAGUGAACAUUUGAAGUAUAUGUUUUUUCUUUCAAUUUAUCUGAUUCAGCAUGAUUGAGGUUAAUUCAUGUUUCUCUACUAAUAAUUUAUUCUAUUUAUUGCAUAACAGUGUUCCAUUAUACUGAUAUGACUAUUCACCAAUCAAUGAACAUUUGGGUUGUUUCCAGUUUGGAACCAUUGCAAAUAAAGCUCUUAUCAUUAAAAUGCAAAAUCCAAUCUUCAUUUGAAGAUAUACUUUUCUUUCUCUUGAUUACCAUGGUGACUACUUGAAGUUCAGAUGUGUACAAUUUUUGAGAAUGAAACAAUUGAAACUCUACAUAGUUAAGAAGUGUCUAUUUUAGGUUAUACAUGAAGUAAUAUGUUGAAUUUUUGUAACUUUUUUCAAGUUGAAAUUUUAUCUUUCUUAAUUAUUUCUGAAAUAAAGGAUAAAUAAAAAAUUAAUGAUUAUCACUGAUUGUUAGAAGAAGAUCACUGCUGAAGAUAACGUUACAUAGAAAGGAAUGGUGUUAAAAUCAAUCUACUCUGAGGAUUCAAUACUCCAAGUAUGCCAGAAGAGGGAAAUUCCACAACCCCUAGGCACUGUUCUUUGAAAGAAGUGGCCAGAAAAAUCAGAUUUGCUGAGAACAUCUGGGAUUACAGAGAGCACUGAUGUGGAGAAAGGAAGGGCAUCGUGAUCUUAGAGAAACCUUCCUCUAUAGAAUGAAGAAACCAAGGCAUAUGAGAAGAUGAUCUUCCUAAGGUCACAUGGGAUUCUGCAUGUAUCCCUAAAAACCCUAUGAACCCUUGACCAUGGAGUCCCCAAGGAGAAUGCUGACCCGAAACAUGGGGAGAACCUUGAAAAACUUGUCUGUACCAUGCACCUAUCUCUACAACAUCAGGACUCACUGCUGGCCACUAGUUAGCAGGAUUCAUCACUACCUUUGCUAUAAUCAGGAACAAAAGGUAAGAACAAUUAAUGACACAUAAGGUAUUUACCAAGGGCCCAGCACUGGGGUAAAAAUAAGCACAGUAUAAAGUUCUUAACAGCUGUAACCAUUCAGGAAGUGUACAAUCUGGCUAAGGUGUCAUGCAUGCAGGGCAAAGCUGGUGACUAGAAAGUGCUGGAAGACUCAGGAAAGACACAUUCAGUAGACAUCUUAGGAAAAGCUUCUUACCUACCCAUAAGUCAGUCUCAAAGUAUGUCUCUGAGCAGAAGUUGCAAUUGCUUGGGAGUUACCCAACACUCUGGGUUGGCAUUGUUGGCCUGUCAGAAGUGGAAACUGACUUCCCUCUUCCUGGUCAGGCUCCCAUAUUUUCACUCUGCUCUGAGUACUGAAAAUUAUUUAGUUUGGGUAAUGUUCAUAUAAGAAAAAUGGAGGAAGAGAGAGGAUUGCAGGCAGGGAAAAUGCAUGGAACUUGGCAUGGUAAGAAGAGGAAUUACUUCUUCUCUCUGUAUUUCCAAAGAUUCAUAAGUGCUCUCAGCUCAAGACAAGAGAUCAUAAAAACAUAAUUGUUUCCUAUAUAAUUACACUGUUGAUUGACUCUCCAGAACCUGCUUGUGAUUAUUUUAAUCUUUGCAUCAUUCUACCAUAAAUGCUGGAAAGAGCAAAUACUCAAUUUCCCAUUCAACCUUUCAGCCAGGAUUAGACUUGUGACAGUUGUGGCCAACAUAUCAUCAGUAGUCCUUGAGGUUUGCACAAUCUCCCAAAUCAAAAAGCAAAAUUCACUAGUAAGGCUUAGUCCUCACCCUUCUUCUUGCCAAAAAUGCUGACAUACAUGUUCCUCUCCCCGAGACAGGAAACAUAAGGGUCAAGGAAUGGAUAAUAAAGAUAGAACUGAGAGAUGGAAACAACUUUAGUUCCUGAUGGCAUCACUGAGUUGCCAUGGCCCUCCUGAACUUCUCUGAACUUUCUGCUUUAUGAAACAAAUAAAACGUUAAGUCAUAUUAAUUGUCUGUUAUUUGUCACCAAGUGAAUUUGUAACUAACAGAAACUCAACAGGAAUGCCACUUAUUCCCUUGCUCAGGUCAAUGAGUUAUCAUCCCACAGGGGCAAAUCUAGUUCUUUAGGUUCCCAUGGCUCCUUCUGCAGCCCACAGGGUCUCCCUGAAAUUAGAGCGUAGCUUCCACUUUUCACAGAAGAUACAUAACACUCAAAGUCCAUAUUGAUUGCCAGAUGUUUCCAAAGGUAUGUCACAUAACCUAUGGAAUUAUAAAAUUAUAUU